rnacentral:snRNA from 1 species
AGAUGUGAAGGCGAUCUGGCUGUAACAUCUGUCACCCCAUUGAUCACAAGGUUGUUUCAGCUUAUAUGGCUGGCUAAGCAGGUGUCCUCUUUCUCCCUCAACAGUCCAUUUCUGUCCCUCCCAAAGCUGUGUACUCAAUCGAAGAGGACAGCCUUCCCUGAUAAAGGAGGACUGGUCUUUGAUCAAGGGUAUAUGAGUAGCUGUGCCCCUCUGCUAGAACAUAUCAGCAAGCUCAUAUAUAACUGAAGGCAUGUGUAGUCCCUAGAGGCUUUAGCACACUGAUUAUAUUCAUUUGGCUUUACCCCAAAAUGAAUUAUUUUAUGUCUUCAAAG